UACGUAGGCAGCGAGCGUUGUUCGGAGUUACUGGGCGUAAAGAGUGCGUAGGCGGUUUUCUAAGUUUGGUGUGAAAUCUCCCGGCUCAACUGGGAGGGUGCGCUAGAAACUGGAAUGCUAGAGGAUGGGAGAGGUAAGCGGAAUUCCUGGUGUAGCGGUGAAAUGCGUAGAUAUCAGGAAGAACACCGAUGGCGAAGGCAGUUCUCUGGGCCGUAACUGACGCUGAGGAGCGAAAGCGUGGGGAGCGAACAGG
rnacentral:rRNA from 1 species